UAUAUGAGUGCCAGAGUUGUGAUGGGUUGGUUUUAAGCAUCAAACACGGGUGAUACCCCUCGUAUAU
rnacentral:tRNA from 1 species